CAGGUCGCCCGUGUCUGUUGACAUACAUCCAUACCUGUGCUCACCUGUGUGGACUCCGGGCUUGUAACCAUGGGAGCCAUCAAAUCGCUGUGGCAAGAAUUUCCGACGAAACGUGUUACAAUUAUAGGGCUUCUUAUAGCGACAGCAGCUAUCGGCGGCAGCACCAGGCAACCUUUUUUCCCGUUCCUCACGCACGACUUCUUCCCUUACCUGAACAGUAACCAGAUAGGCUAUUACACCGGGUUCCUGACAAGUGCGACCUUCUUUGGUACUUUUCUCGGCUGUUUUGUG